rnacentral:lncRNA from 1 species
GUUGCUGGGAUAUGAGAAGCCGAGGAAAGCGUGUUCCCAAAGCUAUUUGUGACCACCCCUUCUUUCCUCUUCUCCCUAACAAGGAAACCCUGCCUGUGACGAGCUGUACAAGGCCUGGCUCAGCGGCUGGCGGGACAGCAACUGGAGACUUAGGAAGAAAAACAACUUCUAAACGUGGUGUUCGUGCAAGAAAGUAUCAGAAAGCGGAAAAUCUCUGAUCCACGCCAUCUGUUUGUCUCAUCCAGUGCUGCAUUCCAAUCUCUGCAACAGAAGAUUCAUGACAACCUGCCAAUAAAAUUCCUGAGAUUGUCAAAACACAGAAUACUUGUGAAAAAGUUUAAGAUAAGAUUCUUUCAUGUUUAAAUUCCUCAUACACACCCUUUCUCUCAGAGCACAGCUGGCUUCAGUACCAGAUUUCAGUCUAUUUCAAGGUUUACCUCACAUUUGGGAAGAUGCAAAUGAAAGAGUUUACAUCAAAGAGCAUGGAACUCAUAUCAUCCUUUCUAACAAUGAUGUCAUAUGAAUUGUGCGCCAGCCAUCUAGACAAUGCUAGAGGAACAACAGUGUACAGAAAAGUGCAAGGUAUUUUCAACCUGCAAACGAUCUCUUUUCCUGUAAACAGAGGGUCCUGGCUCUGUCUUAGAGGAGUAGAAUCAUAUUCAGCAGAUCCUGCAUAUUCCUGGAAGGGGCUUUCUGACCACAUGAUCUUCAGGGUGACACAUGGACAAGAAACAGAUCUUCUUCUUGUAAAUAUUACUGCCUUGUAGCACAACUUGGAACUGUUAUUUUAUUUUGCUAAUAAGUUUAUAUUCCGCCUUACCAAAUGACGAGGCAUUACAGUGGAGAAGAAAGCCACGUCUUACCAUAUAGUUACAUGUAUAAUUAGCUCACAUGCAAAUUAAUUGAACAAUUACGUUGUAUAUGCAACUACAAAUGCAUUUAGUACGUAUUUUGGUUAUUGUUUUCCUUUCUAGUGUGCCUUCAGUAAAGAUUGUCAAUAUGCCUUAAGCCACAAGCCAUGUGAGGUCAGAGAAAAGUAUGUUUUACACAGUCCCAAAUGCAUUCUACUGCCCAAUCUGUUACCCUUUCACUUCCCAAAACACUUCCCCAGCCUAAUGCAAAAGGAUUGCCUGACUCGUCAUUCUCAGGGAUUUGGGCAGAGAGCCACUAAGAAGACAAUCAUCCCAGGCAGCAAAUAUCCAUUAAAAAAAAACUUCCUCCAAAUCAGAUGCUGCUGACAAACUCAUAGAAAAGAUAUUGGCAAAGAAAAAAAAUUCAAAAGACAAUAUAUUUCACUUGGUGCCUAGCACAUUAUAAGUACUCAUGGAAAGGAAAUAAUCUCUGUGUUUAAAUGAGAGAAGACGAACCUGAACUGUCCACAUUUAACGUGUGAUAUACGCAGACAAGGAAAGUCCCGUCACGAGGGAACACACACUGUUACCGAAAUAGUUCUCCAAAGAUGGAGGGAUCCAGAGAGGUCUUGUGAAAUUUUCCAAUAUAAAAUCUCAAACCAAAAUCAAUUAAAUCAUUUAAAAAUUUAAAUACGAAAUAGGGAGGAGGAAGAAUUGAACAAUCUAAUAAUAAUAUCCUAUCACUGGGAAAGAUUAGAAUAACCGUCAAAAAAUAUUUUACUGCGUAUUGGAAGCAAAGAUGCUAGGCAUUUCCUAUAUUUGUUCAUUAUCAUCCCAUUGCAAAGAAGUUAGCCAUCUUUUAGCAUAUUUGCAAGAUUAGUCUAAUCAAUGAUUAUUAACAUAUGUUUUAAUGUUCAAAACCUAAGAACUGAGGCUACGCCAAAGAAAUCAGGGUGUAGACAAAGAAAUGCAAGGAAUUCAGCCUCACCUUUUAAAAUUUUCACGAGAAACUAUUUCAUGAAGAAAACAUUUGUAUUACUAUAGCAAGUUUAUUUUAACAGGAGUGUGUGGGUAGUAAACGAAGCCACGGAAGGUAGCUGAGCACAGGCUAUGGAGAGAAACAACAUAAAUGCAAAAGGAGUUGUCUGCAAAUCUGGCUGCUCCGUUUUCUAUUAGAUUUUCUUGGGCUCCCGUUGAGUGAGUGAUUGAGUGUGGAACCAAAGAAAAGACAAGAGUUAACCAGCUUCUGAAUCCUCUUCUUUCUCCACCUAGUCUCAAAAUACAACCUUCCACCCCUCGCCCAAAAAAAAGAUCUCUUUAGUUUAAAGUAGUCCCUUAGCAGCAGAGAUAAUGGUGUUGCCAAUGUCUUUUUCUUAGAUUGCUUAUUUAUUUGCACAGGUGUCAGCUAGUCUAUUAUUUCUCACAUGACAACUUCGCUCCAUGUUUAUUUCUCUGGUUUUACACCAGUAGUGUGGUAUUAUCUCUCUAAAUAAAGGAAAUGUGCCAAAGUAUAAUUUUAUAGUGAUCUCUAACUUCCUUCUUUUCCCCCUAACAUGUCAGGUGGCUCAGUUCUAAGUUUCCCCACAGUUGGUGGGAACUUUUCAAGGAUUUGGGAUAACAGCUGACAUUUUGUG